rnacentral:rRNA from 1 species
CCAGACUCCUACGGGAGGCAGCAGUGGGGAAUAUUGCACAAUGGGGGAAACCCUGAUGCAGCGACGCCGCGUGGAGGAAGAAGGUCUUCGGAUUGUAAACUCCUGUCGUUGGGGACGAUAAUGACGGUACCCAACAAGAAAGCCACGGCUAACUACGUGC